ensembl:miRNA
AGGGUAGAGGUAUAAGGGGGAAAGUUCUACAGGCCUGUAAUUAGAUCUCAGGACUGUAGAACUUUCCCCCUCAUCUCUGCCCU